CUUUUGCACAAAUGAAAUAGUCGCAAAAUAAGGAAUAUUUAGCAAUCCUAAUGCAACCCAGAUUAAUUAAAGCAACGAAAAACAAGAAAAAAGAAAAACCCUUGAAUUAAUUGAAAUGGUAAGAUAAAUGGCGGAGAGGAAUUUCUCCGAAGGCUGGGAUUGCAAGUGAGAUUAAGGAGAGAGCCAAAUGAAGAUGGAGAGAGAAGAACUACAAGGGUGAGAGAGCAUAAUUGCGAUGUGGAGAUUGAAAGCAGAGUCGUGAGGUGAUGAGGGAGGUUAAUUAGAGAGCCAGUCUGAGAGAAAAAAGGGAUUUUGUUAAGGAUUUUGAUUUGGG
rnacentral:misc_RNA from 1 species